UACGUAGGGGGCGAGCGUUGUCCGGAGUUACUGGGCGUAAAGCGCACGCAGGCGGUCUGCUAAGUUUGGAGUGACAGUUGGUGGCUUAACUGCCAAAGUGCUUCGAAAACUGACAGACCUGAGGGCUUCAGAGGGACACGGAAUUCCGGGUGGAGUGGUGAAAUGCGUAGAGAUCCGGAGGAACACCAAAGGCGAAGGCAGUGUCCUGGGGAGUACCCGACGCUCAGGUGCGAAAGCCAGGGGAGCGAACGGG
rnacentral:rRNA from 1 species